AGGAAGGCAGCAGGCGCGCAAAUUACCCAAUCCAGACACUGGGAGGUAGUAACGAGAAUUACUGAGCAGUAGUCCGAAUGGGCUACUGGUUUGGAAUGAACGUGAUUUAGAAAAUCCGAUGAGUAACAACUGGAGGGCAAGUCUGGUGCCAGCAGCCGCGGUAAUUCCAGCUCCAGUGGCGUACUUUAAAGUUGCUGCGUUUAAAACGCUCGUAGUUGGAUCACGCGAUUUGGAUCAGUGGAGUGGCCCUUUGUACGCUAAAUCCUCACCGGCUAGUGUGGCUACGUUCUAUCGUGGACGCACUUGGCUGACGUGAGGAGUGCACGGGGUCAAUUGAAAGCUGGUUCACAUUACUURCACGUGGGAAUGGUCAUUGACCUUAGAUGAGUUGACGAUCGUGUCUCACGGGGUGUGCCUUGAAUAAAUCAGAGUGCUUAAAGCAGGCUCUCGCCUGAAUGUUGAUAGCAUGGAACGAACAGUUGUGUAUUAGUGCCAUGGUUGUAUUGGUAUCUCGAGGCUUUGAGCUGAGAGUGCCGGUCCCGUGCACAGCACCAACCACCAAUCUCGGAUGUUGGUUCCGUAUUGGGGUGAUGAUUAAGAGGAGCGGUUGGGGGCAUUGGUAUUUUGCCGCGAGAGGUGAAAUUCUUAGACCGGCAAAGGACUAACAAAUGCGAAGGCAUUUGCCCAGACCGUAUCCAUUAAUCAAGAACGAAAGUGGGAGGUUCGAAGACGAUCAGAUACCGUCCUAGUUCCCACGGUAAACUAUGCCGACUCGGGAUCAGUUUGGUGCUAAUCAAACGCUCGAAGUUGGUCCCCCUGGGAAACCUCAAGUCUUUGGGUUACGGGGGGAGUAUGGUCGCAAGUCUGAAACUUAAAGGAAUUGACGGAAGGGCACCACCAGGGGUGGAGCCUGCGGCUUAAUUUGACUCAACACGGGGAAACUCACCUGGUCCGGACAUUGAAAGGAUAGUCAGACUGAAGUUCUUACUUGAUACGAUGAUUGGUGGUGCAUGGCCGUUCUUAGUUCGUGGUGUGAAUUGUCGGGUCGAUUCCGAUAACGGACGAGACCGUGUUCCCCAUUUGGUGAGCGAAAGAUACCAUGGUACAGUGUCGGCAACGACAGUGUACCCAUGGAACCAAGGUAGAUUCGGCGUACAGCUGCCAAAGGUUGGCCUUGAGUGAGGCCACAAGCUGAUCGAUGGGUUAACUGAUGGUGGUUGUUCUUAGCUUUUUCUCCCUUUCGCCAAGUAGUGCAUGAUUUAACGAUUGUGCUCUACACCAUGGGGAGACUGUUGGAUAUAGUUAAAACCAGAGGAAGUACGGCAAUAACAGGUCUGUGAUGCCCUUAGAUGUUCGGGGCUGCACGCGCGCUACAAUGAUAACGUCAACAAGUAUCUGCGUCGAAAGACUCGGGUAAUCAGAAAUCGUUAUCGUGAUGGGGAUUGGUCGUUGUAAUUGUCGGCCAUGAAAUAGGAAUCCCUAGUAUGUGCACGUCAUUAGCGUGAACAGACUGAGUCCCUGCCCUUUGUACACACCGCCCGUCGCUACUACCGAGUGAAUGGUGUCAUGAUGCCUUGGGACUGGACGUUGUCCGGGUUUAACGAYCUGGAGUAACGCCGGGAUCAAUGUAAAAUGGCGCAAUUUCGAGGAAGUAAAAGUCGUAACAAGGCUU
rnacentral:rRNA from 1 species